GAUGAAGAACGCAGCGAAAUGCGAUAACUAAUGUGAAUUGCAGAAUUCCGUGAAUCAUCGAGUCUUUGAACGCACAUUGCGCCCCCUGGUAUUCCGGGGGGCAUGCCUGUCCGAGCGUCAUUGCUGCCCAUCAAGCACGGCUUGUGUGUUGGGUCCUCGUCCCCCCCGGGGGACGUUCCCGAAAGGCAGCGGCGGCACCGCGUCCGGUCCUCGAGCGUAUGGGGCUUUGUCACCCGCUCUGCAGGCCCGGCCGGCGCUGGCCGACGCGAAAGCAACCAUUUUUUCUCCAGGUUGACCUCGGAUCAGGUAGGGAUACCCGCUGAACUUAAGCAUAUCAAUAAGCGGAGGA
rnacentral:misc_RNA from 1 species